GUGUUCGGAUGGUAAGUGCUUUCAGCAGGAAGAAGAGUGACGUACUGCAGAAGAAGCGACGCUAAUACGUGCCAGCAGCCGCGGUAUACGUAUGUCGCGAGCGUUAUCCGAAUAUGGGGCUAAAGGCAUCUAGGCGGCCUAACAAGUCAGGGGUGAAAACCUGCGGCUCAACCGCAGGCCGCCUUUGAACUGUAAGGCUGGAGUACCGGAGAGGUGGACGGAACUGCACGAGUAGAGGUGAAUUCGUAGAUAUGUGCAGGAAUGCCGAUGAUGAAGAUAGUCCACUGGACGGAAACUGACGCUGAAGUGCGAAAGCCGGGGGAGCGAACAGGAUUAGAUACCCUGGUAGUCCCGGCCGUAAACGAUGAUUACUGGGUGUGGGCAGGAAGACUGUCUGUGCCGAAGCGAAUGCGAUAAGUAAUCCGCCUGGGGAGUACGGCCGCAAGGCUGGAACUCAAAGGAAUUGACGGGGACCCGCACAAGCGGUGGAGCAUGUGGUUUAAUUCGACGCAACGCGAGGAACCUACCAGAUCUGACAUCCUACGAAUGCCAUGAGGAUG
rnacentral:rRNA from 1 species